rnacentral:lncRNA from 1 species
AAAAAUCCCAGUUUUCCGAUUUUUGACCUUUCUCAACAGAUUUCUGCAUGAUCAAUCCUUCAGAACUGCACCGAGGGCUUCAAUAUCUCACUGUAUUAAUAUAUAAACAUUGAACAUUCGAAGCUGGUUCUGGGUCAGGUUUUGCAAUAUUUUUUAAUGCUAAGCUGUUUUGGAGGGUCACAUACACAGAUUUCACUCGGACUUUAAAGCAGGGCAUUACCAGGACUUCUGUUAGGACUGGAGCUCCUUACUGUAAAACCACGAGGAUUGUAUAUCAUCACUAAUUUUGUCCUGAUAAGUACUGGCUGGAUCGUUACUAUCCUCUCCUCCAUGUAUUUCUUCUGCCUUCCAAAAUCUUCAGGGAGAUUGUGUCUCGCAUAUCACUACCUAUGGGACUCACCUCAUCCCGUUGCUGGCAGCAGUUAUGAAACUGCCCAGCAAGAGAGAAGUAGUUUGUAGCCAGGCAUCUUGUUCAGGUUUGAGCAACCAGUGAACGUAGAUUCUUAAGUCUCAAGAUUUCUGCUUUUUUGGAGGUCAGUUCUUUUAUAUCUUGUAUGGUGAGAAUUCUAAAACCAAAUUCACAGUGAAAGAAGCCUAGAAAAUCUAUGCUGGCUUUUUGUUAUUUGUGUGGUAGUAGUUACAUACGAUUCUAUUUGGUUAUAUAGGUGAUAGUCUAUGAGUAUUUACAGAUAAAUCGAAGUCACAUUCAGUACUGUUGUCUGAUAGGAAUGUAAAGCUGUCUGGAUAAAGACUGCAAAAAUACAGAAUUUAGGCAAGUGAUUGAAUAAGUUGUGUAACACUUUAAUAUGCUGUUUGAAUCUGUCUUUGAGCACAUUUCCUUAUGAACACACAAACUUAAAGAAAAAACACUUUUCAGAGGUGUAUUUAAGAAGUCUUUACCAUCUUUUAUGUGUUGAAGUUAAUUUUAGUAUAGAUAGAUAGGGUUAAAUUUAAUUUUCUCCCCAAUCAUUUUUGAUAUGUUAUCUUCUCAUGUAUAUAACUUUCAGAUGUGUAUAUUGCUAAUGUGUUUUUUUUUUCCGGAAGUGUGAUUAAAAACCUCCUACUCAUUUUAGACUUGAAAAAGGGAAAAAUAAUGAGACUUCAAUUUUUUUUUUAGUUAUUUCAGUGUGUAUGCUUUUAUGCAAGAGUGAAGUAUAACAAGGGAGUGGGAGCUAGAGGCUGCUUACCUUUCACUUAGUCAAACCACUGUGUUGCUGGAUGGCUUCUUAUGUGUCUAGAGAAUCUUAUAGUUUUACUGCCAGCUUUUCGUUUACGUGUCAUCUAAUAAGUUAAUGUAAAAUAUUUAUUUAUUGCAGUAGCUCUGAGUAAGAUGAAUGCAUGUUAAAUUUAGAAUGUCUUAAAUACAAAUUUUAUUAUACUAAAUACAUUAAUAUUUCACUCUGGAGUAGCUGUGAAACAUAUUGAGAACUGCUGUUA